CCUACGGGUGGCAGCAGUGGGGAAUAUUGGACAAUGGGGGCAACCCUGAUCCAGCCAUGCCGCGUGCGUGAAGAAGGCCCUCGGGUUGUAAAGCACUUUCAGUGAGGAAGAACGCCUGGUGGUUAAUACCCAUCAGGAAAGACAUCACUCACAGAAGAAGCACCGGCUAACUCCGUGCCAGCAGCCGCGGUAAUACGGAGGGUGCGAGCGUUAAUCGGAAUUACUGGGCGUAAAGCGCGCGUAGGUGGCUUGAUAAGCCGGUUGUGAAAGCCCCGGGCUCAACCUGGGAACGGCAUCCGGAACUGUCAAGCUAGAGUGCAGGAGAGGAAGGUAGAAUUCCCGGUGUAGCGGUGAAAUGCGUAGAGAUCGGGAGGAAUACCAGUGGCGAAGGCGGCCUUCUGGACUGACACUGACACUGAGGUGCGAAAGCGUGGGUAGCAAACAGGAUUAGAUACCCGAGUAGUC
rnacentral:rRNA from 1 species